rnacentral:rRNA from 1 species
UACGGAGGAUCCAAGCGUUAUCCGGCAUCAUUGGGUUUAAAGGGUCCGUCGGUGGGCCGUUAAGUCAGAGGUGACAUCCUGCAGCUCAACUGUAGAAUUGCCUUUGAUACUGGCGGCAUUGAAUUACUGUGAAGUGGUUAGAAUAUGUGGUGUAGCGGUGAAAUGCAUAGAUAUCACAUAGAAUACCGAUUGCGAAGGCAGAUCACUAACAGUACAUUGACACUGAUGGACGAAAGCGUGGGGAGCGAACAGG